rnacentral:tRNA from 1 species
GCUUUCGUGGUGCAACGGUAGCACACUCGGCUCGUAAUUGAGAAGUCCAGUUUCAAGUCCCGGCUAUGGCA